rnacentral:tRNA from 1 species
GCACUAGUAGCUCAGAGACUAGAGCGCCGGUCUUGUAAACCGGACGCCGAAGGUUAAAAUCCUUCCUUGUGCU